rnacentral:lncRNA from 1 species
AAAAAAAAAAAAAAGGAAAGAAAUCACUUGACUUGACCUGGAGUCCAGACUCCUUGGUAAAGCAAGGGAAACUAAAAGAAUGUGAUUAGCUAGGAUUAGAAAAAAAACAAACAAACGAAGAGCCAGGCAUGGUGGUGUGCACCUGCAGUCCUAGAGACCCAGGACAUGGGAGAAUUGCUUGAGCCCAGGAGUUUGAGGCUGCCAUGAGCUAUAAUUGUGCCACCAUAGUCCAGUCCUACUUAGGCAUUCAAUGAAUCUAUUCUUAAUCUUGGUUUUCAUCAGCAUCAACAUUUAAAGGAUAAUAAAGGUAUAUUAUGAACAACUUAUAUGAAGCUAACAGGUUUCUAAAGACAUGCAAACUACUAAAGUUCACUCAAGAAGAGUAGAGUACAUGAAUUGCCCUAUACCUAUAUAAGUAAUUAAAUUUGUAUUCACCUAACUGAGUCUACCUUAGACUUGUCUGAUUCCAAAGCCACUACAGUGAGGAAGUCAUGACUGUCCACCAAAACUCUCUUAUUACCCUGCCUAUGUCCCUUAAAAUGUCUUCCUAAGCUCAUCCAUCCAGUUAUCUAUUCCUCUUGACAGAAUAGGAUGAAU